rnacentral:rRNA from 1 species
UACGUAGGGUCCGAGCGUUGUCCGGAAUUACUGGGCGUAAAGAGCUCGUAGGUGGUUUGUCGCGUUGUUCGUGAAAACUCACAGCUUAACUGUGGGCGUGCGGGCGAUACGGGCAGACUGGAGUACUGCAGGGGAGACUGGAAUUCCUGGUGUAGCGGCGAAAUGCGCAGAUAUCAGGAGGAACACCGGUGGCGAAGGCGGGUCUCUGGGCAACAACUGACGCUGAGGAGCGAAAGCGUGGGGAGCGAACAGG